GGGCCGGUAGCUCAGUUGGUAGAGCAGCAGACUUUUAAUCUGCGGGUCACUGGUUCGAGCCCAGUCCGGCUCACCA
rnacentral:tRNA from 9 species